GAUGAAGAACGCAGCGAAAUGCGAUAAGUAAUGUGAAUUGCAGAAUUCAGUGAAUCAUCGAAUCUUUGAACGCACAUUGCGCCCGCCAGUAUUCUGGCGGGCAUGCCUGUUCGAGCGUCAUUUCAACCAUCAAGCCCCAGGCUUGUGUUGGGGACCUGCGGCUGCCGCAGACCCUGAAAACCAGUGGCGGGCUCGCUGUCACACCGGGCGUAGUAGAUUUUAUCUCGCUCAGGGCGUGCUGCGGGUUCCGGCCGUUAAAAAGCCUUUUUUACCCAAGGUUGACCUCGGAUCAGGUAGGAAGACCCGCUGAACUUAAGCAUAUCAAUAAGCGGAGGA
rnacentral:misc_RNA from 1 species